GGCUAGCCAGGUUAUUUUCCACAGCUAGCAAGACAAAAACUGUUUAAUAUUAAUUAAUUUUCUUGAUUUCAACAGACCUAUGCCCCUCCUCUUCUCUUCCUUGAAUUCCCCUUAACAGGCAAUAUUCUAAUCCUCUUAGCCACACGUACAAAAUCCUUCCAGUUAAGGUCGCCGGCGAGGAGGAGAUCAUUUUCCAUGUCUUCAUAUGCAAUGAGGUGACCAGGAACUGCAUUUGUUAGAUCAAGAUCGG
rnacentral:misc_RNA from 1 species